rnacentral:rRNA from 1 species
AUGAACGAGAACUGGAUUAGGGCGGUGGCCAGACUGCAGACCAUUCAGCAGCUAGGUGAAUUCGUGUCUCUCUCGAACCACAUUAGUCAGAUCACCCUCCUCCCUAACCAAGAGGACACCAUUCGCUAGAACUUAACCAGCUCGGGGACUUACUCGGCCGCCUCUGCCUACGCCGCGCAGUUCUUCGGCUCCUACUCACGUUUCGACACGACCAAAGUUUGGUCCGCAAACGCUGAGCCCAAGUGCAAGUUCUUUGCAUGGCUAGCUCUGCACGGAAGAAUUCUCACUGCGGAUAUACUGGCCGUGAGGGAAUGGCCUCACGAUCCCAGAUGCAUGCUUUGUCUUCAGCAGCCAGAAACAACAACUCACCUCUGCAAAGACUGUCUCUUCACGAUCUCGGUCUGGAACCAGGUGAACUCUUGGACUAACGAAGGCGUUCCAAUCUCGGGCUUCCUCCCGGAGCCAGGAAAUGUGUCUGACUGGUGGGGCAAGACUCUGAAUUCCCAGUCCAAUCAAGUGCGCAAGAGGCGCAGUGAAAGAAUCAUCUACACGAUAUGGUCCGUAUGGAAGGAGCGAAAUAGGCGAGUCUUCACUAGACAAAGGCUGAUGCAUCGCGAGGUGGCGGCUCUAGCCCUAGACGCAAUCAAUCAGCGUGAUCUGGCGUUUGCCGGCAACCUGCCAACCGCCGGCAUUGGUUAA